UACGGAGGGGGCUAGCGUUGCUCGGAAUUACUGGGCGUAAAGGGCGCGUAGGCGGCACUGUUAGUCAGGCGUGAAAGUCCUGGGCUCAACCUGGGAACUGCGCUUGAUACGGCAGAGCUAGAGGAUGGAAGAGGGUCGCGGAAUUCCCAGUGUAGAGGUGAAAUUCGUAGAUAUUGGGAAGAACACCGGUGGCGAAGGCGGCGACCUGGUCCUUGACUGACGCUGAGGCGCGAAAGCGUGGGUAGCAAACAGG
rnacentral:rRNA from 1 species